rnacentral:lncRNA from 1 species
ACUCUCAGGCCUUAACUUUUAUGUAAACAAAUCGCGUAAGACUUGAGAAGAGAAUAAAUUUGGUGGUUAUAUGCAAAAAACAAAAAUAAACAUGCAAUGCAGUUGAUUCAAUUGGUUUUAAGAAACUAUGGAUGAAUGAUGUUUUUGGGGUUUACAAUUUCAUCUUAUCCAGUCUCAUAUAUCUACUCUUCUUAUUUACUUCAAUUAUUUAUCUAAUUGCCAUGCAAACUUUCCAGUAUACCCUUAACCCAAUCCCUUGGUGAAAAGAGCCUAUUAUUAAUUACUGGCUUGUUAUCCCUAGCCUCCCCUAGUAACCAAUAAUGCAAUGCGUUCGGAAGCAAAUACAAUUGACCGUCCUACCCCUAUCCCUAGGCGAUAUUGGCAUAAUCAAGGAAUUUCCCACCAGNUCAUGACAUUACCGUACGUCCCC